rnacentral:rRNA from 6 species
UUUGGUUAAGUUAGAAAGGGCGCACGGUGGAUGCCUUGACACUAGGAGUCGAUGAAGGACGGGACUAACGCCGAUAUGCUUCGGGGAGCUGUAAGUAAGCUUUGAUCCGAAGA